ACCCGCUGAACUUAAGCAUAUCAAUAAGCGGAGGAAAAGAAACUAACAAGGAUUCCCCUAGUAACGGCGAGUGAAGCGGGAAAAGCUCAAAUUUGAAAUCUUGCAGGUUUGCCUGUACGAAUUGUAGUUUAAAGAAACGUUUUCGGGUCUGGUAUGGGUACAAGUCUUUUGGAAUAAGGCGUCAUAGAGGGUGAGAAUCCCGUUCUUGAUCCACAUCCAGACCUGUGAGAUACGUUUUCUAAGAGUCGGUUUGUUUGGGAAUGCAGACCAAAAUGGGUGGUAAAUACCAUCUAAAGCUAAAUAUUGGCGAGAGGCCGAUAGCGAACAAGUACCGUGAGGGAAAGAUGAAAAGAACUUUGAAAAGAGAGUUAAACAGUACGUGAAAUUGUCAAAAGGGAAACGUUUGAAACCAGUAUUGCGUGCGGGUAAUCAGCUCGACGUUCGCGUCGGGUGCACUUGCCUGUAAGCGGGCCAACGUCAGUUUGGCUUGGGGUAAAAAGCCAGAGGAAGGUAACCCGGGGCUUGCUCCGGGUGUUACAGCCUCUGGUCCUGCCCUGAGCUGGACUGAGGACUGCAGCAUUUUUUGGGUACCCAGUCGCCUCUUGAAACCUUCUGGCAGACAGCAUGCUGAUUGUCGGGAGACGUACGGAGCCCGGUUGGUUUUCCACACAAAUGCUUCGGAUGUCGGCGAAAUGGUUUUAAAUGACCCGUCUUGAAACACGG
rnacentral:rRNA from 1 species